rnacentral:tRNA from 1 species
UGGGUUGUUGCUCAGUGGUAGAGUGCUUGCCUAGCAUGCAUGAGGCACUGGGUUCGAUCCCUGGUACCACAU